rnacentral:lncRNA from 1 species
CCCCAGUUCCAUUAAAGUUGGCCACAUUUCCUUUAGUUUGUUCCACUAAAGUUGGUCACUUUCUAAAAAUGUAAAUAUUUAUUUUAGUUAAAUCCAAUUAGUUCAUUUAAUUAAAAUUUUCUAAUUAAAUCUAAACCGUCUUUAUUUAAACACACACACACACAAAAUACACACUAACACACGCACACAGCCAACCCCCCCCCCCCCGCGCCCCACCCCCUUCUCUCUUUUUCUCCGACAGCCGAUCUCAUCGCCGACGGCCGCCCCGUCCCCUAACCUCCCUCUCACUCUCCCUCGCCUCUGCUCUCUCAUGUCUCGCUGCGCGCGCACACACACACACAAGAAAAUCACCAUGGGAUCUAGCCCUCCAGCGCCUCCCUCCACCUAGCGCUGCUCCACAGCCUCCAUUUCGGGCUAGGGCUUUGCCUCCGCCGCCGAUUUAGGGCUAGGGCUUUGCCUCUCCACAGCUCCGCCUCUCCUGCCUCUCCGAUUUGGGGCUAGAGCUUUGCCUUCGUCGCCGAUUUAGGGCUAGGGCUUUGCCUCUCCGCCGCUCCGCCUCUCCAGUUGGCGCUGCCUGGUGCGUCGUUUUACACCAAAAAUAUCCGGCAGUCAGCCGGUAUGCCCACACUGCGCAGACAGCAGUAAGCAAAAUCGUCUCCCAAGGGACUGGCGAGAAUUUCUCCAAUUAAAGUCUGCAAAGUAACCACGAAAUUUUGAGAAGAAAAUAUGGAAAUUACUAAACUUAAAAUUAAAUAAAUAAAAUCCGAAUAAACCAAUUUUUCCAAUUAACCAAAAGAUGAAUAAAAAUUCCAACAAUUAAUAAAAGAAUUCCAGCAAUCAAUUAAGUCCACCCUAGCUCAAUUAUUCCGAUCAUCGAUGCAAAAAUAACUUUAAAUCAUGCAAACAAACCAGUUAUAACCACCGAAGACGCUUCUGACGUGAUCUUAUUUCUCCUUAAUUAUUCGGUAACCAGGAAGACGCUUCACUAAUUACUACCCUAAUCGACUGACAACCGUAAGAGACGCUCUAUAGGUUUAAUGAGCCGAUAGCAUUAAUAUCUAGAGAAACCCGAUUCAAAACCAAUAAACUCUGACGCAGGAUUAUUGAAUUAAGACUGCUUUUCCUUUGACCCUGAUGUGUCAAUUUACCACUAAUCAAACCUAAACCACAAUUACGGAUGGCCGGUUCAAUUGGCUAUAUAAUUAAUUCUAACCCAAUAAAUAUUUGCAACUAUCUAAUGGAUUAAAACAAUUAAUAUCAUUAAACAUGGAGAAUCGCAGAUGCAAGCAUAAAAUAAAGUAUAAGAACAAUUAGAUCUCACAGAAUAAUUUCGCUAGUGCUUCCUUAAUCGUUGCCGGAAUAAACGAAUUUAGCUAGAAAACAUAAUAAUUAAAUAACAAAAGAAAUAAAUAAAAAGAAUAAAUUGCAAAGAAUGAUGAAAGAAAUAAAACUUGAUUGGAAGAACUCCAAAAUCGCAGUGCUGCUCUCAAAAGUUGGUGUCUGAAUAUAUGAU